CCUACGGGGGGCUGCAGUGGGGAAUAUUGCGCAAUGGGGGAAACCCUGACGCAGCGACGUCGUGUGAGGGAAGAAGGCUUUCGGGUCGUAAACCUCUGUCAGAAGGGAAGAAACGCUGGAGUUCGAAUAGGGCUCCUGCUUGACGGUACCUUCAAAGGAAGCGCCGGCUAACUCCGUGCCAGCAGCCGCGGUAAUACGGAGGGCGCAAGCGUGAGUCGGAAUCACUGGGCGUAAAGCGUGCGUAGGGUGUGAAAUCCCGCGGCUCAACCGGGGAACUGCGUUUGAUACUGUCGGACUCGAGUCCUGGAGAGGGUGGCGGAAUUCCUGGUGUAGGAGUGAAAUCCGUAGAUAUCAGGAGGAACACCGGUGGCGAAGGCGGCCACCUGGACAGGUACUGACGCUGAGGCACGAAAGCGUGGGGAGCAAACAGGAUUAGAUACCCGUGUAGUC
rnacentral:rRNA from 1 species